AACGCGAAGAACCUUACCUACCCUUGACAUGCUCGGAAUCUGGCAGAGAUGUUGGAGUGCCUUCGGGAGCCGAGACACAGGUGCUGCAUGGCUGUCGUCAGCUCGUGUCGUGAGAUGUUGGGUUAAGUCCCGUAACGAGCGCAACCCCUAUUCUUAGUUGCCAACAGGUGAUGCUGGGAACUCUAAGGAGACUGCCGGUGACAAGCCGGAGGAAGGUGGGGAUGACGUCAAGUCCUCAUGGCCCUUACGGGUAGGGCAACACACGUGUUACAAUGGUCAGUACAGAGGGAAGCGAAAUUGUGAGAUGGAGCGAAUCUCUUAAAAGCUGGUCGUAGUCCGGAUUGGAGUCUGCAACUCGACUCCAUGAAGUUGGAAUCGCUAGUAAUCGCGGAUCAGAACGCCGCGGUGAAUACGUUCCCGGGCCUUGUACACACCGCAUAC
rnacentral:rRNA from 1 species